rnacentral:rRNA from 1 species
GACGAACGCUGGCGGCGUGCUUAACACAUGCCAGUCGAACGGAAAGGCCCUGCUUUUGUGGGGUGCUCGAGUGGCGAACGGGUGAGUAACACGUGAGUAACCUGCCCUUGACUUUGGGAUAACUUCAGGAAACUGGGGCUAAUACCGGAUAGGAGCUCCUGCUGCAUGGUGGGGGUUGGAAAGUUUCGGCGGUUGGGGAUGGACUCGCGGCUUAUCAGCUUGUUGGUGGGGUAGUGGCUUACCAAGGCUUUGACGGGUAGCCGGCCUGAGAGGGUGACCGGCCACAUUGGGACUGAGAUACGGCCCAGACUCCUACGGGAGGCAGCAGUGGGGAAUAUUGCACAAUGGGCGGAAGCCUGAUGCAGCAACGCCGCGUGCGGGAUGACGGCCUUCGGGUUGUAAACCGCUUUCGCCUGUGACGAAGCGUGAAUGACGGUAAUGGGUAAAGAAGCACCGGCUAACUACGUG